AAUGUCUCAACGGAUAGAUAACUUUGAUCAAUCCUUAGUUGACAUAAUAGUGAUUGAAGUUGAAUUUAAAAGGGAGAAUCAUUGUUCAUCCCCGCAAAUAAGUUCGGAAGGGGAUUGCACUACUAAAAAAUUCGUGUUUAGAGACCCAUUUAGCAACAUAUGUCAUUUUCAAAAAAAAUAUAACCCAAGAGAUUUGAAUCGCCCCAAAUGGCAAAGUGAUAUAAAAAUGAGAAAAUUCCAACUGAAGUGAAAUCAAUGGACAAAGUGAUAUCAAACUGGACAAUGGAAUUUCUCAUUCAAAGCUUCGUUCCCGAUUCACUCAUUCAAAAAACCCUAACCGUUCUUCCAAAUUCCACCGCCGAUUCUCGCCUCAAAAUAGCACUCCUCCUCCGCACCCUCCAAACCACCCUCCUCAACGCUUCCCUCUCCGAAACCUCCCUCGAAAUCCUCGAACACCUCGAAAACCUUUACCACAACGACGCCAUUCCAAUCUUCGAUGCAAUGCGCAGUGCUUACUGCGCUGUUGCGGUUGAAAGCACCGUCAAGUAUCUCGUUGCUUGUCCUGAAGCUCCCUCCGGUGAGUACUAUUCUGCUGUCCGACGUAUCUGGCAUCAAAGGGUUCAUAAAUUGUCGGAGGAGGAGGAGGGACGGAGGAGGAGGAGGAGUGAGCUUUUGUCUGAUGAGUUGGAUCAGUGGAGGCAAGAUGUUGAAGCUGCGCUUUGGAAUGUUAGGGUUUCGGAGAGGCUUGUGGGGUUGAAUACAAGGAGAGAUGCGAUGAAUCAAAUGAACAGGUUUUUGAAGGAAGCAUGGGAAACAAUUGGACUUUCCUAUAUUGAUUCCAUGGAGACGGUUUCUAUUGGGAAUGCUUUGCGCCAUGAACGUGUUUGUGAAAUUGCUUCGGGUAGUGUAGUGUCGAACAAGUGUGAAGGAAAGUUAGAAGGUUUGCGAAAGGAGAAAAUGAACUCUGUUGGUCAUGAUGAGAAUGAGAAUGAGAAUGUGAAUAACAAUGAGAAUGAGAAUGAGGAGAAUGAUAAUGUGAAUGGUGAUGUGGCAACAAUGCGUGAAAAUCAUGGGAAUGAGCAAUUGGAAGAGAGAGUUGGUACUUAUUGUGAUGCAAAUCAGGAAGUGGGUGGGUGUGAUUCCUCAAAGGGAGAUAAAGAAAUCCGGAAAGACAAUCAUCAACUCAAACGCAAGCACUCUGCAAUUCAAACAUACCAUACAGGAGUUAGAAUCUCUGAUGCUGAAGAAGCGUCUGAGGAAGCGAAAAAAACAAAUUUGUCAUUUAAAUUUGAAAACUUGCCGAGUGCUGAAGUAGAGAAAGUUUGGGAAUCCCUUAGAUCAAGUUCUAUAGAGGUAAAAGCAAUGGUCAAGGAUCCUCUUCCUGAUGCAUUGCAUGCAUCUGAAAUUGUAAGAUCCAAAUUGGCUGCAAAAGAUAUAAAUCGCAGGCCACCCGUUGAAAACCAGAGUGGACAUGUAGAUGCACCAGAUUCAACUGAAUGCAAGACUAUUGUACUUUAUCAGCCUAAUGACAUCAAUCUUGGGAAGAAGUCUUCUGUUCAUUGUAGUAGUAGUAGUCGUCGUCUUCUCCCCAAGCUAAUGGAACGAGGAAGUUCUGCUCAUACUUUUGAGUGGGAUGAUUCAAUAGAGAAUAAACCGCACGUAAAACAGCCAAAAAAGAAGAAAAGGAGAUGGACUUCAUUGGAAGAGGAUACACUAAGGGAUGGUGUAAAAAUGUUUGGAGAAGGAAACUGGAGAGAUAUCCGAGAAUUUUACAGAAAAAUAUUCGAAUUUAGAAGUGCUGGUGAUCUGAAGGACAAGUGGAGAAAUUUGAUUCGGUGACACAACAUUGACGUGUACAUAUCCUUUGUUGUUGAUUUUCAAAACAAAGGUAUAUUAUCAUGCAAUGGCUAAUGCAGCAAUUGUGAUUGGGUUUGAUGAUUUUAUUGCAGAUGCAUUUGUGAGGACGAUUUUCCAAAUAAUACUCACCAUAGGGUGGUUGCAGUCUCUGUGAGCAAUUAUACUCUAAAGCAUGAAUAUACAUGAUUGAUCAUUGUUGGUGGGAGGAUAAAAUUGCUACCACAUGUAUGUUGCACUCCUGGUUUCUUGGUUUGUUAUUCUUUUUUGACAAGUGAUCUAUAUGCUAAUUGAUCCAUAGAAUAGAUUGACCAUUCCUAUAUUACCAAUUGUGUGAUUCCUGAUUUGCUCUGUUUUUAUUGUAAUUUUUUUAUAAAAUCUUUGAUUAAGCAGAGCUUAUGUAAUUAGAAUUUUGAUAUAUAUUGGAAAUGACUUCAAUGUA